UACGAAGGGGGCGAGCGUUGUUCGGAAUUACUGGGCGUAAAGCGUGCGCAGGCGGUUUUGUAAGUUUGUCGUGAAAGCCCCGGGCUCAACCUGGGAAUUGCGAUGAAGACUGCAAGGCUUGAAUCUGGCAGAGGGGGGUAGAAUUCCACGUGUAGCAGUGAAAUGCGUAGAGAUGUGGAGGAACACCGAUGGCGAAGGCAGCCCCCUGGGUCAAGAUUGACGCUCAUGCACGAAAGCGUGGGGAGCAAACAGG
rnacentral:rRNA from 1 species